rnacentral:snRNA from 1 species
CGAUGAAGUAUAACUGCGACU